ensembl:lncRNA
CAGGAAGUCAGCAGAGGAACGGCCACGCCGUCUCCUCAGCACAGCAACGGGGCCGCUGUCGCCAACGGCAACGACAGAUCCUGCUGACCCUGCAUCUAACUGUGAGGAGGACUCAGUGUCCCACCAGUCAUGUACGCUGAGCCCAGCCAGCCUGACCCACACACCUAGCCCAGGGGUCAAUCACAUCACUGACAAGACACAGGGACUAUUUGGGCCAUCUCCAGAAAGGAGAGCAGGCUACGAAUGUGAAGGAACUCAUCCAAAAUAUCACAGGCAAUCCAGAACAAGGAUACAGAGGACUUCCAACCAAAAAUGUUUUAUCAGAG